GUGGUUGUAGCUCAGCGGUAGAGCGCUUGCCUAGCAAGUGUGAGGCCUUGAGUUGGAUCCUCAGCACCACA
rnacentral:tRNA from 1 species